rnacentral:pre_miRNA from 1 species
AAAGUACUCCCUCCGUCCCAAAAUUCUUGUCUUAGAUUUGUCUAGAUACGGAUGUAUCAAUUGAUACAUCCGUAUCUAGACAAAUAUAAGACAAAAAAUUUGGGACAGAGGGAGUAGUUG